rnacentral:rRNA from 1 species
CCAGACUCCUACGGGAGGCAGCAGUGAGGAAUAUUGGUCAAUGGCCGAGAGGCUGAACCAGCCAAGUCGCGUGAGGGAUGACGGCCCUACGGGUUGUAAACCUCUUUUGCCGGGGAGCAAAGAGCGGGACGCGUCCCGCCUCGAGAGUACCCGGAGAAAAAGCAUCGGCUAACUCCGUGCCAGCAGCCGCGGUAAUACGGAGGAUGCGAGCGUUAUCCGGAUUUAUUGGGUUUAAAGGGUGCGUAGGCGGGCUUUUAAGUCAGCGGUAAAAAUUCGGGGCUCAACCCCGUCCGGCCGUUGAAACUGGGGGCCUUGAGUGGGCGAGAAGAAGGCGGAAUGCGUGGUGUAGCGGUGAAAUGCAUAGAUAUCACGCAGAACUCCGAUUGCGAAGGCAGCAUACCGGCGCCCAACUGACGCUGAAGCACGAAAGCGUGGGUAUCGAACAGGAUUAGAUACCCGAGUA